rnacentral:rRNA from 1 species
AGUGAACGCUGGCGGUAGGCCUAACACAUGCAAGUCGAACGGCAGCACAGUAAGAUCUUGCUCUUACGGGUGGCGAGUGGCGGACGGGUGAGGAAUACAUCGGAAUCUACUUUUUCGUGGGUGAUAACGUAGGGAAACUUACGCUAAUACCGCAUACGACCUACGGGUGAAAGCAGGGGAUCUUCGGACCUUGCGCGAUUGAAUGAGCCGAUGUCGAAUUAGCUAGUUGGCGGGGUAAAGGCCCACCAAGGCGACGAUCCGUAGCUGGUCUGAGAGGAUGAUCAGCCACACUGGAACUGAGACACGGUCCAGACUCCUACGGGAGGCAGCAGUGGGGAAUAUUGGACAAUGGGCGCAAGCCUGAUCCAGCCAUACCGCGUGGGUGAAGAAGGCCUUCGGGUUGUAAAGCCCUUUUGUUGGGAAAGAAAAGCAGCAGGUUAAUACCCCGCUGUUCUGACGGUACCCAAAGAAUAAGCACCGGCUAACUUCGUG